AAGUCCCUCCGAGAGGGGCGGCUCCGCGUCAUGUGACUGGAGUCCGCGUAGGAGGGGUCGGAGGUCUUACCCAACAGAUUGACGCGGCGUUAGUAUUGGCCGUGUACCCGAAAAACUGAUUGACUGGGCUGGCGUUAACUGUGCGGAGGCAGUUGGCCGUGUUUACAUCAGUGGUUGGAGACCAGACCUAACAGACAGGUGUGUCCUGUUUGCAAAGCUGGCAUCAGCCGAGACAAGGUCAUCCCCCUCUAUGGAAGGGGCAGCACUGGGCAACAGGACCCCAGAGAGAAGACCCCUCCUCGUCCUCAAGGACAGAGGCCAGAGCCGGAGAAUAGAGGGGGAUUUCAAGGAUUUGGAUUUGGAGAUGGUGGCUUCCAGAUGUCUUUUGGAAUUGGGGCAUUUCCCUUUGGGAUAUUUGCCACAGCAUUUAAUAUAAAUGAUGGGCGGCCUCCUCCAGCUGUCCCUGGGACACCCCAGUAUGUGGACGAGCAGUUCCUGUCACGCCUCUUCCUAUUUGUGGCCCUGGUGAUCAUGUUCUGGCUCCUGAUUGCCUAAUGCUGGGCUCCUGCCUACAUCCGUGGCAGGGCUCUGGACUGGUGACGUGCCACCCCAACUCCUGGUGUUUGGCUUCCUGGCUAAUCUUGACUCCUGGAAUCAGUGGGAUCAGUAACACAUCAAGGAGUCUUGUUUCUUCAUCAGAGCUUUGGAACUCGAGACCAGUUGGCGAUGACCCCUGAAUAUCGCCACCGCUGUAAACACUCUAUAACUUCAGGCCUUGGCAUUGAGUCAUCUCUCAUGGGUGACACCAUGAAAUCUUGUUUCAGCCAGUUCUGCAGGUCCUGACUCUGCAGAGGGAAGAGGCAGAAAGAGAGAAACUGUCAGAGUAUAAUUUCACCUGAGUUUAAUAUUACAGAAACAAAGGGAUGCACCAAAUGGUAUUUCUGGAAAUUUUCAUGUCUUUAAAUACCCCUUGGUAAGUUGCUUCUGAAGCCAGUGGGGGCUCCUCAGAUAGAGAGGUUCCCCUUUCAAAUCCCAGUGCCGCUCUGUUCUCUUUCCUUCCCCUCCCACUCCCCCUCUUCUUCCUCUGUAGAGAUGCAAGAAAUUGCUGUCCCAUAAAAAUCAUAAUUGCAGUAGCUAAAGCUGGGGUCACUUCGUGAAUUCACCAGAGACUCAAAGAUCUUUUAUUGGCUCUGGGCUGUGCUCAGUGUCUUUGGCCUCAGAGAACAACUUGAAUGACUUCCUGGUUUCCUGGCAUAAAUUAUUCCUGGUGAGACAUGUGGCUUAACUCACAGGUUUCCCAUCAGCUUUCUCCCUAAAACUAUGUUCAUCUGCCUCUCUCUGCCAGAGAACAUACAGCCGAGAAUACUGCCGAAGCUGAGACUGACUACUGUGCAUUAGGAAAGACCUGGAGUCAGGACUUUGGUGGGAUUUGGAGCUCCGAGGCAGUAAUAACUGAACAAGCAGCCCUGUCCCCUAGGCUGCAGAAGCUUGAAUGCAUCCUCUCCCAGAACCUGCCACAGGAAACUGGGGGCUUUGUCAGGUCAGCCCAACUGCAUGCAAAAGACCACCAUCCUCAGAAGCCAAGUUGUCUUUUAUGAAGAGGCAAGGAAAGGGGAAACCCACAUGUGACCCUGAUUUUGGUAUGGCUUGAUAGAGUUCCCUGAAAACUCCUUGUAUGUGUGCUAAAACCAGGGAAGCAUGUGACUGCCAAGCAGGCAACCCCUGAUGAUUUGUAAAGCCAGGUGGCAGGGCCUUGGGGAGCCCCAGCACAAUGAUAUUGUGUGGUCUUCCCUCCUGUGGAAUCGAGGGGAAAUUAUUCUUCCCAAUACCUUGAUUUGAUUUUCAGUUUCAUAAGCUUCUUCCUCUGAAUCUUAUUGAGGGACUAUGGUACCAAGCAGGUAGGACUGUUCACCUGGUGGAACAGUUCUUGCUCUGCCUUCUAGGCUUCAUCCCAGAAAUCCAGCCUCUUUCUGGAGACCCCAAAGCUGGAGGGAGAUGGGCUUUCCUCUGGGCCUCUCUCCUACUUUGCCAUCCACACUGCUCCUGGCUAACCCCAGCAAUAACCAACAAAUGGUAGGAAGCCCCAUCUAUUGCUUUUUCUCAAUUAUGACUGCAUAGUUUAUGGAAACAAAGAUCUUGAGGAAGAUGAGGGAAGCCCUCCCCUCUUCACAGUCCCCAUCUCUUCUCCUUUGUACCUGUCAACACCAGAGUUCAGUGUUUAAACAGACAAAAUAUAAAGUAUUGAGUAGGUGGUUCAUAUGCCGAAUCCACUUGGUAGGAAGAAACCACCAGCUUUAUAGUGUGCCUGAUAGAUUUUAAACAUUCCUGGGCACCCACUCAAGAGUGCUCUUUUUAUCACCUUCUGGAAAUCCGCAAAGUUGCAGGGGCCUCUGGAGUGUCUCUUCUCUAGAGAGAAUUGGUGGGACCCCCCUCAGUGCAGUGGCCCCAACUAGUGGAGGGAGAGAGGACUUAAGUCAGAUGGACUCAACAGAAAUGGGUUUCCAGAAGAAUAAUGAAAAGUUGUGGGUAGGAAAAUGAAUCAUUUGGACUCUUCAAUGAAAUGGAGUGAGCCCAGGAGAGCUCAGCCAACAGAGGCACUCUGGGAACCUGUUAGUAAAGCCAGGCUGGCCAAAUGCCAUUUGAUUUUGAACCUCGUAGGUCCCCACUCACCCUCUGCCAGGAGCUAAGUAAGGCAGGAGAGCUGACUUGGGACUCCUGGCUCGGCCCCAACAGGGAGCCCCCUUCCCACCAUCCCUCGGCAAGCUCACCACCUCAUCCUUCUGCCAAGGCAGCUUUCCUUUCUUUUGUGUGUUUUCUGUGUUCUUAGCCUCCACCCUCCUCCUGCCACCCUUGUGGACUAGGACCAGGUCCUGACCCCAGUCAGAAAAUGAUGAUAUGUACAGUGGCACACCUUAACCAGUCACUAAUUUUCACUGUUGUGAAAGUGAUUUGAUUUAGAAUUAAACAAAUGGUUUUACAUUACUAUGA
rnacentral:lncRNA from 1 species